AUUGAACGCUGGCGGCAGGCCUAACACAUGCAAGUCGAACGAGUGGCGGACGGGUGAGUAAUGUCUGGGAAACUGCCUGAUGGAGGGGGAUAACUACUGGAAACGGUAGCUAAUACCGCAUACCAUCGGAUGUACCCAGAUGGGAUUAGCUGGUUGGUGGGGUAAAGGCUCACCAAGGCGACGAUCCCUAGCUGGUCUGAGAGGAUGACCAGCCACACUGGGACUGAGACACGGUCCAGACUCCUACGGGAGGCAGCAGUGGGGAAUAUUGCACAAUGGGCGCAAGCCUGAUGCAGCCAUGCCGCGUGUAUGAAGAAGGCCUUAGGGUUGUAAAGUACUUUCAGCGGGGAGGCGUUACCCGCAGAAGAAGCACCGGCUAACUCCGUGCCAGCAGCCUCGGUAAUUC
rnacentral:rRNA from 1 species